rnacentral:lncRNA from 1 species
AUUCAAUAUAUUUUUUAUGAUAUAAAUUUUUUAGAUAUAUUUAAGUAUAUAUGUUGUACAUAUGAAUUAAAAAGAAUUAUAAACAAAUUAAAAAAAAAUGUUAAAAUAAAAAAAAAUAAAAUAGUUAAUAAAAUAUAUACAUAUAAUAACAACAUCAAGUUAACUUUUACAAAUCACCAGGACAACAGAUUAUAUGAUUAUUGUAUUAUUACAGUACCUAUUGGAGUUUUAAAAGAUAGUGUAUAUUAUUUUGCAAACGAAAAAAAAAAAAGGGCAACAAAGCGGAGCAUGCCAUUAGCACGUACAGAGGCAAAAGUAGCAGAAACCGCGACACUCAUGUUUGAUACGAGCAUAAACCAAUCUUAUCAAACCUUUAACAGCGUUAAUAGCAUUAACAGCGUUAAUAGCAUUAACAGCGUUAAUAGCAUUAACAGCGUUAAUAGCAUUAAUAGCGGUAAUAGCAUUAAUAGCGGUAAUAGCAUUAAUAGCGGUAAUAACAUUAGCUGUGUUAAUAGCAUUAGCUGUAUUAAUAACAUUAAUUGCGGUAGCAACAUUAACAGCGGUAGCAACAUUAAUAGCGGUAGCAACAUUAACAGCGGCAAUAACAUUAACAGUGGUAAUAACAUUAACAGUGGUAAUAACAUUAACAGUGGUAAUAACAUUAACAGUGGUAAUAACAUUAACAGUGGUAAUAACAUUAACAGCGGUAAUAGCAUUAACAAAGACAACACCUUGCACUAUGAUAACUCGCAUCAUAAUAACACGCCCGGUCGAGUAAACCAUAAUACAAAAUUAGGAAAAAACAACGGUGAGGAACAUAACAUCAGUAAUAACAUUAUCCAAAAUAAAAGAGGGAAUAUAUUUUUAAUCCGUAAUGAAAAAAAUAGUGAUACAGAUAGAAGUUGCAAAAAGAAGCAUAAUAGUAACUCUAGUAAUAUGAGUGAUAACAUAUUAAACAACAUAGAUUUUACAAAUGAAAACGAAAGUAUAUGCGAAAAUAACACAAAAAUGGAAAAUAUAUGUUUAUACGGUAAGAGUAAACAAAAAGCAGGAGAAUAUGAUCGUAGUGUUGUAUUUUAUGAUUCUGAUACACCUAAUAAAUUAAAUAUGAACAAAACAGAUGGUUAUACACAUAACAACAAAAUUGGUAAUAAUAGUCAUUUUUGUAAUCAAAAGUAUGAUAAUACAAAUUUUAACACAGUCGAUGCUAGUUGUUCAGGUAAUUUAAACCAUUUGUAUAACAAACAAAACAUCGGAAAAUAUUAUUCAUAUUAUUACGUAGACAAUAAUAUUAAUAGUGACAAUAUAAAUAAAAACAAAAACAACAGUUAUAAUAACUGUGUGAUUAAUAGUAGCGACAACGCUCAUUCUGUAUUUCAAAAAGAAUCCAAUGAAAACAAAAAAUUAAAACUAACUUUAAAUACUCAAGAAGAAUUAAUGACACAUGCACCUACUGCGAUAAAUCCCUGCUUGGUGGGCGAAGAACAAAUUAGUGGGAUAUACGACGAAUCGAAGGCAAUACAUAUUUUUAAUACAACAACGGUUGAACAAACUAGUAGACUACCACUAGUUAAUCAAAAAAGGAGUAUAAUUACCAACUUUAAAGACGAAAUAAAAAUAAAAAAAAUAAAUGAUAAUAAUAAUAGUAAUAAUAAUAAUAGUAAUAAUAAUAAUAGUAAUAAUAAUAGUAAUAAUAAUAAUAGUAAUAAUAAUAAUAGUAAUAAUAAUAAUAGUAAUAAUAAUAGUAAUAAUAAUAAUAGUAAUAAUAAUAAUAGUAAUAAUAAUAAUAGUAAUAAUAAUAGUAAUAAUAAUAAUAGUAAUAAUAAUAAUAGUAAUAAUAAUAAUAGUAAUAAUAAUAGUAAUAAUAAUAAUAGUAAUAAUAAUAGUAAUAAUAAUAAUAACAACAACAGUAACAACAACAAUAACAACAACAAUAACAACAACACUAACGACAACACUAACGACAAUAAUGAUAUUAAAAUAAAGUCAUCGUCUAUGACCUUGAAAAACGAUAUAUCGAAAAAAAAAUCCCUUACGAAUCAACAAAAAAAAGACANNNNNNNNNNNNNNNNNNNNNNNNNNNNNNNNNNNNNNNNNNNNNNNNNNNNNNNNNNNNNNNNNNNNNNNNNNNNNNNNNNNNNNNNNNNNNNNNNNNNGAUAACAUAGGGUUAAUCGAAUUCAUUCCAAAGUUACCCGAGUGGAAAAUUAAUAGUAUUAAGCGCAUGGGUGUUGCAAAAAAUAAUAAAAUUAUUAUUAUUCUUAAAGAAAAAAUAAUU